UGAGGAAUAUUGCUCAAUGGGCGCAAGCCUGAAGCAGCAACGCCGCGUGGGUGAUGACGGGCUUCGGCUCGUAAAACCCUUUUCUGUGUGACGAGAACGGACGGUAGCACAGGAAUAAGCCUCGGCUAACUACGUGCCAGCAGCCGCGGUAAAACGUAGGAGGCCAGCGUUAUCCGGAGUUACUGGGCGUAAAGCGUACGUAGGCGGCUUAUCAAGUCUGGGGUUAAAGACCACAGCUUAACUGUGGGA
rnacentral:rRNA from 1 species